UUAAUAGGUCGUCGGCCCACCUUGUGGGAG
rnacentral:sRNA from 1 species